rnacentral:rRNA from 1 species
UACGAAGGGUGCAAGCGUUACUCGGAAUUACUGGGCGUAAAGCGUGCGUAGGUGGUUUGUUAAGUCUGUUGUGAAAGCCCCGGGCUCAACCUGGGAAUGGCAAUGGAUACUGGCAGGCUAGAGUGCGGUAGAGGGUAGUGGAAUUCCCGGUGUAGCGGUGAAAUGCGUAGAGAUCGGAAAGAACACCAGUGGCGAAGGCGGCUUCCUGGACUCAUACUGACGCUGAGGCGCGAAAGCGUGGGGAGCAAACAGG